GUGGGGAAUUUUGGACAAUGGGCGCAAGCCUGAUCCAGCAAUGCCGCGUGCAGGAAGAAGGCCUUCGGGUUGUAAACUGCUUUUGUACGGAACGAAACGGUCCUGGUUAAUACCUGGGGCUAAUGACGGUACCGUAAGAAUAAGCACCGGCUAACUACGUGCCAGCAGCCGCGGUAAUACGUAGGGUGCGAGCGUUAAUCGGAAUUACUGGGCGUAAAGCGUGCGCAGGCGGUGCUGUAAGACAGGCGUGAAAUCCCCGGGCUCAACCUGGGAAUUGCGCUUGUGACUGCAGUGCUGGAGUACGGCAGAGGGGGAUGGAAUUCCGCGUGUAGCAGUGAAAUGCGUAGAUAUGCGGAGGAACACCGAUGGCGAAGGCAGUCCCCUGGGCCUGUACUGACGCUCAUUCACGAAAGCGUGGGGAGCAAACAGGAUUAGAUACCCUUGUAGUCC
rnacentral:rRNA from 1 species